rnacentral:rRNA from 1 species
AACGAACGCUGGCGGCAUGCCUAACACAUGCAAGUCGAACGCUUCCGGGGGUUUCGGCCUCCGGGGAGUGGCGCACGGGUGAGUAGCGCGUGGGAACCUGCCCUGUUGUGGGGGAGUAACCGAGGGAAACUUCGGCUAAUACCGCAUACGCCCGAGGAGUGAUCUUCGGGGAAAGAUUUAUCGCAGCAGGAGGGGCCCGCGUCGGAUUAGCUGGUUGGUGGGGUAACGGCCCACCAAGGCGAUGAUCCGUAGCGGUCUGAGAGGAUGAUCAGCCACACUGGGACUGAGACACGGCCCAGACUCCUACGGGAGGCAGCAGUGGGGAAUAUUGGACAAUGGGCGAAAGCCUGAUCCAGCAAUGCCGCGUGGGUGAAGAAGGUCUUCGGAUUGUAAAGCCCUUUCGGCGGGGACGAUGAUGACGGUACCCGCAGAAGAAGCCCCGGCUAACUUCGU